UCACAGAAAUGUCAGCUAGGGUUUCCCCAAGGCUCUGCAGAGCAUUGGCAGAGCUGAGAUUCACUCAGAGCUGGCUGACUCCAAAGGCCACAUGCUUUCCAUCCUCCCUCAAAGGUCUCUGAUACGCUUACAUGAAAUCAUUACAAGGUUUACUACAUGAUGUCAGCAUCAUACUUAAAAAAAUUUUUUAAACCUUAAAGUAAUAUAUUACAUAGUUUAUCAAGUUUUUAGUGUUAACUGCUUAAGAUUGAAAACAGCAUUCCAAAUCCCACUCCGCGGGAGCAACAACUUCCAUCUCUUUUAGCUAUUUCUUCCGGUAUUUGCUUCCUUUCUUUUAAAAUUGUGCUUAUAUUUUUGGGAGGCCGAGGCGGGCAGAUCACAAGGUUAAGAGAUUGAGACCAUCCUGGCCAACAUGGUGAAACCCCGUCUCUACUAAAAAUACAAAAAUUAGCUGGGCAUGGUGGCAGGUGCCCGUAGUCCCAGCUACCCGGGGGGCUGAGGCAGGGGAAUCACUUGAACGUGGGAGGCAGAGGUUACAGUGAGCUGAGAUCGCACCACUGCACUCCAGCCCGGUGAAAGAUUGAAAAAAAUAUCAUCGUUGCGGUAGUGGAUAUGACAUUCUCUAGGCACAGCCACAUCUGCGUAUUUCACGAAGAAUGCACUAUUAGCCAAAGAUAGUGGUGCCAUUUAAAUGAAAUCAGCCUGCACAGUAUUUUAAACCCAAGUAGGAGAAAUAGUGAAGAGAUCAUUUUGCAAGGGCUCAAUUUUACCCAUCUGGAUAUCUCAGUGUGUGGCACAUGAAGCCUUCAUUACAUUUCUAUAAUCAGUUGGAGAUAAUAUGGUCCUCCAGAGAGGGAUGUUCAUGUUCUCAGAAACCUGGAAGAGCAGGAGUAGGUGAAAAAGUCAUGUGUGACCUUCACAGGCACCUACAAGUAGAGGGGCCAGAAAGUGUGGUUUUGGUUCCUCCUCCAAAGCAGGCCAGUGGGCAUUAGUAAUGGUGGGGGAGGGAGGAGGUCCCUAGGGAGGAUCUGCAUAAUGACACUGAGACCAUUUACCAAGACACAAAUGCAAACUGAAAGAGUAAUAUUCUUCAGUGACAUAUUCAAGCAGGAGAGAAAACUGUUUUAAAAACAACCACCAAAACCUGCUUACCUCGUUUUGCAUGAUGCUCCCUCGCCCCCUUCUUAAGUACACACUUUGUGGAAGAGACUCACACAUUUGCAUGACAGUACAAAGAAAAGGCCCUUUACCCACCAGGAUGGAGAGAAAUGAGAGAGGGAGGGAGUGGGGGGUAGUGAAGCAGCUGGUUCCACAGAAGGAAAGGGAGCAGGACUGAGUACCGAUUUUGGCUUUGGGAGAACAAGGCAUUCGGAAGCAAGAAGCCAUGUUGGUAAGUGAGGCCCCUCCUCCCCAUAGAGGCCAGGGAACAGCCCGGAGCACAGGGGCUAAUCUGUGUCAAGAGCCCUUGGUUUCCGUGGACCACAGACAGAAACAUCAGCUGGUGAUGACAUACAGGGUAUCGCCCGUUCUCUGAUCUCAGAGUGAAAAGGGACCACAGCAGGCUCCUGACUCAUGCAGGCCCCUCACCCCACCUUGUAUGGCCUCCUUCCCCUGUGCAGCCUCUUCCCACAGUGCAGCCUCCUCCCCCUGUGCGGCCUCCUCCCCUGUGUGGCCUCCUCCUUCAGCAUGGCCUCCUUCCCCUGUGCAGCCUCCUCCCCCUGUGCAGCCUCCUCCCCCUGUGCAGCCUCCUCCUUCAGCGUGGCCUCCUCCCCUGUGCAGCCUCCUUCCCCUGUGCAGCCUCCUCCCCCUGUGCAGCCUCCUCCUCCUGUGCGGCCUCCUCCCCUGUGCAGCCUCCUCCUUCAGCGUGGCCUCCUCCCGUGUGCAGCCUCCUUCCCCUGUGCAGCCUCCUCCCCCUGUGCAGCCUCCUCCCCCUGUGCAGCCUCCUCCUCCUGUGCGGCCUCCUCCCCUGUGCAGCCUCCUCCUUCAGCGUGGCCUCCUCCCCUGUGCAGCCUCCUCCCCCUGUGUGGCCUCCUCCCUGUGUGGCCUCCUCCCCCUGUGCAGCCUCCUCCUUCAGCGUGGCCUCCUCCCCCUGUGCAGCCUCCUCCUCCUGUGCGGCCUCCUCCCCUGUGCAGCCUCCUCCCCCUGUGCAGCCUCCUCCUUCAGUAUGGCCUCCUCCCCCUGUGCAGCUUCCUCCCCCUGUGUGGCCUCCUCCCCCUGUGCAGCUUCCUCCUUCAGUAUGGCCUCCUCCCCUUGUGUGGCUUCCUUCCCCUGUGUGGCCUUCUCCUUCAAUGUGGCCUCC
rnacentral:lncRNA from 1 species